GCCAAAGCAAGUUAGUUGUCGAAGAACAUCUGAAGUAAUCUCCGAAGCUGCAGCCGUGAGCCAGCACAAUGCAGGAAUGCAAUAUGAAGUGCACUUUUUAUGGCUGUAAGCGGACCUACUCUGACCUGGAGGCACUGAACAGACAUAUCCAGGAUCACAAGAUCCCUGCAGAGUCCCUACCUGGAAAGAUCUUCUUAUGUUCCACAAUAGGUUGUGAUGGUUCUUUUUCCAACAUGCAACAGUUAAUGGAGCAUAUGAGAGAGCAUCAUAAACCAAAUUGCUUCUUUCUGUGUGAAAGUUGCAAGGCCAAACUUCGGUCCUAUCGCACCCUUCUCAAACACCUGCAGACCUGUGCCAAGGUUGCCAAGAGCAAAGCGGCUAAGGCAGGUGCAUUGGCAGAACCAGGGAUGACCCCAGACACAGAUCCCAUUGCUGUUUCAUUCGCUCCUGUUACUGUGGAACAACCCAGUACCAACGCAGCCUCUGUAAAACCGGAGGAGAUGGAGUCUGACGUUACGCUGUCCACACCACAGCUUCAACCCAGCAGAGAAACCCAGGAAAACAGCACUUUAUUAGGCUCGUUCUCUUCUACCGGCCUUCCCCGAGAACCUGUCACUGUUUUAGAGCCAGCUGUGCAGUCUACUGCCAACCUAAGCCAUCUAAGUCGCGCCGAAGCCUCCUGUAGUCCCUUACCUCCCAACCUCUCCCCAGCACACACUCAACCUCCUCUGCCAGAUCCUGCACUACAACAGCAACAACAAAAGGCUCCCAAAGCCUCUUUUCCCAAUCUACCCUUACCACCACAACAUACUCCACCGGGAUCCAACGCAGUCUGGAGGAAGAACCAAGAGCCGCCCGGGCCCCUAUUGCACAGAUGGAACUCUCCUCCGAGCAGUCAGAGUUUAAAUAGAGAUGAAUUCCAGGUCAAUCCUUCAACUGCCGCAUCCUUUGGGAGCACACCAGGGGGCGAUACAGCUGCCUUCAGUGUGGCCACUCCACCCCAGACAGGAAAGAGAUGACUGCACAUAUUGAGGGGCAGCACAAGAGCCCUGGGGGCAGGCUUAACAAUGAUUCAGAUGUGGGGGUCACCUCUCCAUCGGUGAUUACUAAAACCUCAACAGACUCUGAACACUCCGUCUACACCCAGCUCUAAUUUAC